CCAUAAAACCCCAAAGGGGAGAGGAUUUGGAUAGCUUCUGCACUGGUGAACACGUGACUUGGGGAGGGCGGUGCUUCCCUAGGCAUCCUCUCUUCCAUUUGGAUGUUCCUGAGUUAUAUCCUCUUAUGAUAAACCUGUGAUCUAAUUGGGAACACAGUUCGAGAUCCAGAGCGGCUCUCCUGACCAUGGCUCAGAGACUGCCCACGUGGUCUGGCGCUGUUAGUGCAUCUUAGUCUGUAACUCAAGGGAAAUUUUCUGGAGGAGGCAAGCAUUGUUUUCCUGCAAUCAAUUGAUUGCCUGACUGAUCUGCAAAGGUUUAAUUUCUCUAAUAUAUAAAGAACUUCUAGAAGUCAUCAAGGGAAGGGCCUACAAAAACUAGAAAAAUAGACAAAGGUCAUGAACAGCCAUCUCACAGAAAAGUAAA